rnacentral:rRNA from 1 species
AACGAACGCUGGCGGCGCGCCUAAUACAUGCAAGUCGAGCGAGAAGGUGUAGCAAUACACUUGUAAAGCGGCGAACGGGUGAGGAAUACAUGGGUAAUCUACCAUCGAGUGGGGAAUAACCAACCGAAAGGUUGGCUAAUACCGCGUACGCCUCCGAGUCUUCGGGUUCGGAGGGAAAGCUGCACUGUGAGUGUAGCGCUCUUUGAUGAGCUCAUGUCCUAUCAGCUUGUUGGUAGGGUAACGGCCUACCAAGGCUUUGACGGGUAGCUGGUCUGAGAGGACGAUCAGCCACACUGGCACUGCGACACGGGCCAGACUCCUACGGGAGGCAGCAGUAAGGAAUAUUGCGCAAUGGGCGAAAGCCUGACGCAGCGACGCCGCGUGGGGAUGAAGGUCUUCGGAUUGUAAAAUUCUUUCACCGGGGAAGAUAAUGACGGUACCCGGAGAAGAAGCCCCGGCUAACUUCGUGCCAGCAGCCGCGGU